rnacentral:rRNA from 1 species
AUUGAACGCUGGCGGCAGGCCUAACACAUGCAAGUCGAGCGGAGCGGCGGACGGGUGAGUAAUGCCUAGGAAUCUGCCUGGUAGUGGGGGAUAACGUCCGGAAACGGGCGCUAAUACCGCAUACUAUCAGAUGAGCCUAGGUCUGAUUAGCUAGUUGGGGGGGUAAAGGCCUACCAAGUAGACGAUCCGUAACUGGUCUGAGAGGAUGAUCAGUCACACUGGAACUGAGACACUGUCCAGACGACUACGGGGUGCCGCAGUGGGGAAGAUUGGACAAUGGGCGAAAGCCUGAUCCAGCCAUGCCGCGUGUGUGAAGAAGGUCUUCGGAUUGUAAAGCACUUUAAGUUGGGAGGCGUUACCAACAGAAUAAGCACCGGCUAACGUCGUGCCAGCCGCCGCGGUAAUUC